rnacentral:rRNA from 1 species
UACGGGGGGGGUAAGCGUUGUUCGGAAUUACUGGGCGUAAAGGGCUCGUAGGCGGCCAACUAAGUCAUACGUGAAAUCCCUCAGCUUAACUGGGGAACUGCGUGUGAUACUGGAUGGCUUGGAUUUGGGAGAGGGAUGCGGAAUUCCAGGUGUGGCGGUGAAAUGCGUAGAUAUCUGGAGGAACACCGGUGGCGAAGGCGGCAUCCUGGACCAAUAUUGACGCUGAGGAGCGAAAGCCAGGGGAGCAAACGGG